rnacentral:rRNA from 1 species
UAACACGUGGGGAACCUGCCCCAUAGUCUGGGAUACCACUUGGAAACAGGUGCUAAUACCGGAUAAGAAAGCAGAUCGCAUGAUCAGCUUUUAAAAGGCGGCGUAAGCUGUCGCUAUGGGAUGGCCCCGCGGUGCAUUAGUUAGUUGGUAAGGUAAAGGCUUACCAAGGCGAUGAUGCAUAGCCGAGUUGAGAGACUGAUCGGCCACAUUGGGCUGAGACACGGCCCAAACUCCUACGGGAGGCAGCAGUU